rnacentral:snRNA from 1 species
GUGCUCGCUUCGGCAGCACAUAUACUAAAACUGGAACAAUACAGAGAAGAUUAGCAUGGCCUCUGCUCAAGGAUGACAUGCAAAUUCGUGAAGCAUUCCAUAUAAAA